GCCGGGGUGGUGAAAUUGGUAAACACAGGGGAUUCAAAAUCCCCCGACUUAACGGUCUUGUCGGUUCGAGUCCGACCCUCGGUACCA
rnacentral:tRNA from 1 species